AUGCUUUGUUCCACGCUCCUGCUACUGACUGUCCCGUCCUGGGUCUUAUCCCAGGUCACCUUGAAGGAGUCUGGUCCUGCGCUGGUGAAACCCACAGAGACCCUCACGCUGACCUGCACCUUCUCUGGGUUCUCACUCAGCACUAGUGGAAUGCGUGUGAGCUGGAUCCGUCAGCCCCCAGGGAAGGCCCUGGAGUGGCUUGCACGCAUUGAUUGGGAUGAUGAUAAAUACUACAGCACAUCUCUGAAGACCAGGCUCACCAUCUCCAAGGACACCUCCAAAAACCAGGUGGUCCUUACAAUGACCAACAUGGACCCUGUGGACACAGCCACAUAUUACUG
rnacentral:lncRNA from 1 species